GAUGAUGAUGAUGAUGAUGAAUCAUUUACCACCUGUGUUUGACUUCCGAGAAAAUGAGCUGGGCUUUGGAAAUUGCUGUGAUUUAUUUAUUUUACUCUAGAAAAUUGAAAAAUAUCAUGGCCUAUUGUACAUGGGUUGUUGUGAUGGUGGAUCUUUGUAAACUGGAGAUUUUUACAUCGCAUAUUAUUGUCCUUGUAGAUCUCGUUGUUUCUUUCUUUGUUUAUUCAAUUGUUGAAUAUCGCUGUUCGGUGUUUUGAAAUAUAAUUUGGGACCUUAAUUACACUAUUGAGUGGAAUGUGCCAAUUUAUUGAGCUUAAUUGGUUUUGAAUUUGUUUGUGUUUUAAUUUUGAGUUAAUAUAUUGUUGGAUUUCAGUAUUUUUGUAUCUACCCAUUCUCUUCAUAUUCGGAUAGGCUGUUUGUUUACUGGAUAAUCUGGGUCAAACAGAAGUGAGUGCGAUCUUGAUACUUGAUUUACAAGUUGACUUAAAUUUCUUUGCAAGCUGGAUAAUUUAGUUGUGCUCUUUUGGUUUGGAGCUUUUUAAUGAUUCAAGGACGUGUUUUUUAGUAUGAAUCAUCAAUGAAAUGGUGUUUUACAAUUCCUUUAUAUUUAAUUCAAGUGUUUUUUUUUUAACACUUAGUUCUUUAUUUUUCUUUAAAGGUUGUGCGCUAGCUUUUGGUUGCAUUAGAGCUGAGACUUGAGAGACAGUCUUAUAGAAAAUGGUGUACUUUGUGAAAUAAUGUCUCAUUGUAGAAGUUUAUGUUGCCUAGGUGGAAGAAGGCAACAAUUGAGGAACAGUUUACAUAUCUUCUUGCUGUGUUGAUUUGUUUUGACAUCUUGAAGUUUUGUAUUAGAUUUGUUACUUCAGAAAUGCAUACAAGCAAAUUUCUUUCUGAAUUGUAGUAAAAUGAGUUUGAGUAGCAAAUUCAUUAAUUUUAUUUUGAUGUCUUGUUGAAUCAUAGCAAAUUCCUUGUUGAUUUUGAUUCUUUGUUUUGUAUCUGGUAGCAGUUCUAGCUUAUCAAAUAUGCUUUUGUACAAUUCUUAAGUGAAGAAGGUUUUGUAAAUGUAGAAGUGAAUAUAAGUUAUGUAAUUGCAUGGUGAAGCACCAAAUAUGGUGCUAUUAACAUGUCAAAUGGCCGUUGGCUAUUUAAUAUAAAUGUAUUAUAUUAUUCCAAAUAAUAUGGAAAAUUUUUUUCCCAUGAUUUUCUUGUAAAGCUGCUAAUGCAGAUUUAUAUUUGUAUGUUUUCCUCCUUGGCUAGUGCUAUCAUGUUAUAGCUUGUUAUCAGGGUUUACUAGCUCUUCUGCUGUGAAAUAGGUCAUGUUCGUUUUUGGAUUAGUUCCCUUUUGCUUUAGGCAUAUUUAUUUCAUAUAUAUGCUGUGAAUUUUUUUUUUCUUUUUUGAAGACAUAAAUUCAGAGGAGUUUCUCUGAAGCUCAUCUGUUUAAAUUGUUCAUAUGAUUUUACAUUUUCUUUUUAGGUCACCAUCUUGAGUUGCAAACAUGGCGGAUGGAUCAUGGCAUCCAUCAGUGUAUCAUAAGAUAAGUGGGCAGUCUUCUCUUAUUUCUAAGCAUUCACCCAGCUUGCACAACAGAAAUAAUGCCAUGACUGGUGCACACGGAAAUGGUCAGCAAAACCAUUUGCAUCCUGCACUUCAUGGCACUGGUCUGGCACUUUUGUCACCCCCCUCACCUGUAUUUGUCCAAGCACCAGCUGAGAAAGGUGCUAGUGGCUUUAUGAUUGAUUUCCUUAUGGGAGGAGUCUCAGCAGCUGUCUCCAAGACUGCAGCUGCUCCAAUUGAGCGAGUUAAACUGCUGAUUCAAAAUCAGGAUGAGAUGAUCAAGGCCGGUCGAUUAUCUGAACCAUACAAGGGAAUCACUGAUUGCUUUGCUAGAACCAUCAAAGACGAAGGUGUACUUUCUCUUUGGAGAGGCAAUACUGCUAAUGUUAUCAGAUACUUCCCCACCCAGGCUC
rnacentral:misc_RNA from 1 species